ACGAGAGGACCGGAGUGGACGAACCUCUGGUGUUCCGGUUGUCACGCCAGUGGCACUGCCGGGUAGCUAUGUUCGGACGGGAUAACCGCUGAAAGCAUCUAAGCGGGAAGCCCACCUCAAGAUGAGAUCUCACCAAAUCAUUCCGAUUUCUGAAGGGCCCUCGAAGACUACGAGGUUGAUAGGCAGGGUGUGUAAGCGCUGCGAGGCGUUGAGCUAACCUGUACUAAUUGCCCGUGCGGCUUGACCAUAUAA
rnacentral:rRNA from 1 species